CCUACGGGGGACAGCAGUGGGGAAUAUUGCACAAUGGGGGAAACCCUGAUGCAGCGACGCCGCGUGAGUGAAGACGUAUUUCGGUAUGUAAAGCUCUAUCAGCAGGGAAGAAAUAGCGACCUUUGGGUCGCCAGACGGUACCUGACUAAGAAGCACCGGCUAACUACGUGCCAGCAGCCGCGGUAAUACGGGGGGGGCAAGCGUUAUCCGGAUUUACUGGGUGUAAAGGGAGCGUAGACGGCAGCACAAGUCUGAAGUGAAAUGCCGGGGCUUAACCCCGGAACUGCUUUGGAAACUGUGCAGCUAGAGUGCAGGAGAGGUAAGUGGAAUGCCUGGUGUAGCGGUGAAAUGCGUAGAUAUUAGGAGGAACACCAGUGGCGAAGGCGGCUUACUGGACUGUAACUGACGUUGAGGCUCGAAAGCGUGGGGAGCAAACAGGAUUAGAUACCCCAGUAGUC
rnacentral:rRNA from 1 species